CCUUGCUAGAAUUUGUUUUGUCAAGUUAAUAUUCUUAUAAUAAUUUCAAGGUUGUGUACAUUGAUAAUAGUGAUGUCAUGAUUUUUAGUGUAUAAAAGUCUUGAUCACUGUCCUUAUAGAUUCAUCUUUGGUAAGCCAUCUCAAGAACUGUUGCAAUGUGUUUGGUACGAAGAUGAACAUACUUCUCCUUACACUAGUUUUUGUGGCCUCGGCCUCUGCCUAUAUCAUCCGCCCUUUAGAUGAAGUCUAUGCUAAAGGAGAAAGAGAAAUAUGUGUACCCAUUUUCGGUGUGGCUCAAAUUUGUGCUGAUCCACACAUCAGCGGCAAGAGAGAUGAAGAUAUCAACCUAGCAGAGAUUGUCGCCAACAUUGGAAAGGUUGUCCACGUCAUUGAUGAGUUCGUGGCAGGAACAACCGGGAAAAGAGAGGAACAGGACGUCUGCAUUACAUUAUUUGGCCUUCAAGUGAUAUGUAUUUAAAACUAUGAAGCCACACACUGUCUUGAGUUAAAAAGAUCUCAUGUAGAUCUGAUCUAUUAAAAAUGUCAUAAAAUAA